rnacentral:rRNA from 1 species
UGCGUAGGCGGAAAAUUAAGUCAGUGGUGAAAUCCUGCAGCUCAACUGUAGAACUGUCAUUGAUACUGAUUUUCUUGAAUACAGUUGAGGUAGGCGGAAUAUGUAAUGUAGCGGUGAAAUGCUUAGAUAUUACAUAGAACACCGAUUGCGAAGGCAGCUUACUAAACUAUGAUUGACGCUGAGGCACGAAAGCGUGGGGAGCGAACAGGAUUAGAUACCCUGGUAGUCC